UACGGAGGGUGCGAGCGUUGUCCGGAAUCAUUGGGCGUAAAGCGCGCGUAGGCGGCCUUGUAAGUCCGUUGUGAAAGUCAAAGGCUCAACCUUUGAAAGCCGAUGGAUACUGCAAGGCUAGAGUUCGGAAGAGGCGAGUGGAAUUCCUGGUGUAGCGGUGGAAUGCGCAGAUAUCAGGAGGAACACCAAUAGCGAAGGCAGCUCGCUGGGACGAUACUGACGCUAAGGCGCGAAAGCGUGGGGAGCGAACAGG
rnacentral:rRNA from 1 species